rnacentral:lncRNA from 1 species
CUCUGAGCGCACGACAGCGGGCAAAACAACACGUGACCACAGCCUCACGCGGCGGCCGCUGCGGAUCCUGCUACCGGCGCAAUGGAGGGGCGCGAGCGGCCACCAGUAGAGACCGAAAAACUUUAGAAAAAGAAAAGCUCAUACCUAGAACAAAGGACCACGCUGAAUGCAUAUUCUAGAGCACAUUUCACAUCCCUCGCGUCAACAAGAAGAAGAAGAGGAGCUUUGAUGCAUUUCAGUCUACAAGUUGACAUCACAAAAGUGCUGGAAGCAGCCGUGGUUUCGGAAGGGAGCUAGAGGCAGAACGAGUGUGGAUGCUGAGAGAUCCCUGACUGUGACUGCUACAUAUUUCAGCUGCGUAGUCACAUAUAUACAAGAUUCCCUGCACUUACAACCAAAAUGAUAACAAAUGCUCUCAUUUGGGAUUUUGUUUGAUAGUCAUUAGGAUAUUUUAUAAGUCUUUCCAAGCACAAGGUUUUUUUCUUUUUUUUUUUAAAGAGAAAUGUGACAAAUAAGGCAACA